rnacentral:rRNA from 1 species
UACAGAGGGUGCGAGCGUUAAUCGGAAUUACUGGGCGUAAAGCGUGCGUAGACGGCUAUCUAAGUCGGGUGUGAAAGCCCCGGGCUCAACCUGGGAAUUGCAUUCGAGACUGCAUUGCUAGAGUAUGGGAGAGGGAAGUGGAAUUUCCGGUGUAGCGGUGAAAUGCGUAGAUAUCGGAAGGAACAUCAGUGGCGAAAGCGACUUCCUGGACCAAUACUGACGCUCAUGUGCGAAAGCGUGGGGAGCAAACAGG